rnacentral:rRNA from 1 species
UAGGGGGCAAGCGUUAUCCGGAUUUACUGGGUGUAAAGGGAGCGUAGACGGAGCAGCAAGUCUGAUGUGAAAAUCCGGGGCCCAACCCCGGAAGUGCAUUGGAAACUGUUGAUCUAGAGUGUCGGAGAGGCAAGUGGAAUUCCUGGUGUAGCGGUGAAAUGCGUAGAUAUCAGGAGGAACACCAGUGGCGAAGGCGGCUUGCUGGACGAUGACUGACGUUGAGGCUCGAAAGCGUGGGGAGCAAA